rnacentral:rRNA from 1 species
UACGUAGGGGGCGAGCGUUGUCCGAAGUUACUGGGCGUAAAGCGCGCGUAGGCGGUCUCUUAAGUCUGGGGUGAAAGGUUCAGCGCUCAACGCGAACAGUGCCCUGGAGACUGGGGGACUUGAGUGUGGGAGGGGGCAGUGGAAUUCCGGGUGUAGCGGUGAAAUGCGUAGAGAUCCGGAGGAACACCGAUGGCGAAGGCAGCUGCCUGGCCUAACACUGACGCUGAGGUGCGAAAGCGUGGGGAGCGAACGGG